UCGUAUCGAGUCGCAAAAGUGCAUUACAAAGUUAAUUUCAUUAAUAAUAUAUUGUACUUUAUAAUACAAAUAGUUUGUUUUUAUUAAAUUCUUUUUGAUAUGUUUAAGGAAAAGUACAUAUCGUCGGUGACACUGCAAAACGGUCUAUGUCUAUUACUACCCUUGACACUUAGAUGGUCUCUUACGUGCACCGGAAUGCAUCUGAAAAUCGUCACACCCUAAUAAAGGAAUGACAAACCUGUCUACCUUUGGCUGAUGAAGAUGAACGGUUGCCAGAAGCGAUAAGAUACAGAUAACACAUCAAUUAAGCACCAGAGGUAAUAAGUGGCAUAGAACGUUUUGCAGUAUCACCGACGAUAUGGGCAUUUCCAAUCUGGCGUGACGUGAAAAAUGUUAAAAAAUUAAAGGAAAACGUCAAUAUCUGAAAACUCUUGCACUUCGUCAACAAUAUUUGUAGUAAUAUUUGAAAUAUUUGAGGUUAAUUUUCCGAGACCAAAAAUGUAAAAAUCAUUCCUGCUUUUUUAUCAGCCGAAGUAUCUGUCGUAACGUUACAAGACAUUGCGCAAGUGUAAUAUGAAUUUUAUGUCGAAUAUAUUUUUUAUUUUGACUUCAGCGCACCCUAGCGAUUCCAGUUAUUGCAAAUCUAUGUCGUCGCUCAACUGUGACGUUUUUCUUGUGAUUUCAAUCUUGAAAUACUCUCUCAAGAAAAAAGCUUUUAAACUUUCCCACUGUGAGGUGAAUAUUUGUUUGCUGAGGACAGGUAUCAAACUCACAAAAUAAAAAAA